GAUGAACGCUAGCGGGAGGCCUAACACAUGCAAGCCGAGCGGUAUUGUUUCUUCGGAAAUGAGAGAGCGGCGUACGGGUGCGUAACACGUGUGCAACCUGCCUUUAUCUGGGGGAUAGCCUUUCGAAAGGAAGAUUAAUACUCCAUAAUAUAUUGAACGGCAUCGUUUAAUAUUGAAAGCUCCGGCGGAUAGAGAUGGGCACGCGCAAGAUUAGCUAGUUGGUGAGGUAACGGCUCACCAAGGCGAUGAUCUUUAGGGGGCCUGAGAGGGUGAUCCCCCACACUGGUACUGAGACACGGACCAAACUCCUACGGGAGGCAGCAGUGAGGAAUAUUGGUCAAUGGGUGCAAGCCUGAACCAGCCAUCCCGCGUGAAGGACGACUGCCCUAUGGGUUGUAAACUUCUUUUGUAUAGGGAUAAACCUACCCUCGUGAGGGUAGCUGAAGGUACUAUACGAAUAAGCACCGGCUAACUCCGUGCCAGCCGCCGCGGUAA
rnacentral:rRNA from 1 species